UUCACUAUAAAAGGGUUUCGUUUUAAGUUCCAUGCAUGCAUGUGUUUAUAACGGCCUAGCUUGAGUCCUAGGGGGUCGGGUUGUUACAUUUGUGUCUUAAAUGCUCUGUUCUUUGUUUGAUUUUGGUAUAUUAUUCAUGGAACUAUAACUCUAGAUUCAUAGGCGUGGUGGCUGUUUUAGUUAGACAUCUUUAGAACUUUUCAAAUUGUGGUAAUGCUUAAUUUUCAAUUAGUUUCGGAGGAAAAUUUCUUCCACUUCUCCUAGUUCAUUUCUUUCUUUUGAUGAUUUUUGUAAUACUUAAUUUCUUCCGCAUCCGUCCAAGCACUGCCCAGCCUCUGCAGUCGUCGUUUGUUGUCGGUUCUGUUGUUGGAUCCAAGAUUGGAGUAGUCUGAAGUGCGCAACAUGCUGUUCAACGAGUUCGAGUUCGUUUUCAACAAGAAAUUUGGUAACAUUUGUGGUUCUUUAGGUUGAUCUCCGGAUACCCACUAAUGAUUAGAUUAAGUAUUGACUUGACUAUUAUAUUUAGAAGGUUUAAGGUCGUUUUUCAUUGGAAUUAGAGCUUGUUUUUCUUUGUGGAAUUUAGUGGAGAUUUUGAAGCUGAAGCUUGGAAAUGACUGUUGGUUAAGCUACACUUUAGGUUUAAUUUGAGUUUCAUUAUCGAGUAGUUGCUUAGAGAGAAAUAUUUGGACUUGCGAUCUGAGGUGAGAUGCAUUGGCGACUGACAAGAGGAAUCUUUGAUCGAGCCAUCAGGGACUAGUUUACAUGCUUCCAUUCAUAUUUUAAUAUUUCUAUUAUGUUUUACAUUUUCAGUUUUGAAGUUCGAGACUAC